CCCUCUCUUGCCCGCUAUAUAAACACAAGCAAAACAACCACCAGAGGCGGCAGUAGUAUUUAGAUUUGUGAGGCAUUUAUUUCGGCAUUGGUCAUAAUUAGGUUGUUGGAUGAAAUUUGCACCGGUGUGUGAAGAAGGCUCAAGACUGAGAAUGUCUCGCCAGACCAACACGGCUAAGGAAGAGAGGAGAAACCCAAAUUGAU
rnacentral:lncRNA from 1 species